CAGGAUGAACGCUGGCGGCGUGCCUAAUACAUGCAAGUCGAGCGAACGGACGAGAAGCUUGCUUCUCUGAUGUUAGCGGCGGACGGGUGAGUAACACGUGGAUAACCUACCUAUAAGACUGGGAUAACUUCGGGAAACCGGAGCUAAUACCGGAUAAUAUUUUGAACCGCAUGGUUCAAAAGUGAAAGACGGUCUUGCUGUCACUUAUAGAUGGAUCCGCGCUGCAUUAGCUAGUUGGUAAGGUAACGGCUUACCAAGGCAACGAUGCAUAGCCGACCUGAGAGGGUGAUCGGCCACACUGGAACUGAGACACGGUCCAGACUCCUACGGGAGGCAGCAGUAGGGAAUCUUCCGCAAUGGGCGAAAGCCUGACGGAGCAACGCCGCGUGAGUGAUGAAGGUCUUCGGAUCGUAAAACUCUGUUAUUAGGGAAGAACAUAUGUGUAAGUAACUGUGCACAUCUUGACGGUACCUAAUCAGAAAGCCACGGCUAACUACGUGCCAGCAGCCGCGGUAAUACGUAGGUGGCAAGCGUUAUCCGGAAUUAUUGGGCGUAAAGCGCGCGUAGGCGGUUUUUUAAGUCUGAUGUGAAAGCCCACGGCUCAACCGUGGAGGGUCAUUGGAAACUGGAAAACUUGAGUGCAGAAGAGGAAAGUGGAAUUCCAUGUGUAGCGGUGAAAUGCGCAGAGAUAUGGAGGAACACCAGUGGCGAAGGCGACUUUCUGGUCUGUAACUGACGCUGAUGUGCGAAAGCGUGGGGAUCAAACAGGAUUAGAUACCCUGGUAGUCCACGCCGUAAACGAUGAGUGCUAAGUGUUAGGGGGUUUCCGCCCCUUAGUGCUGCAGCUAACGCAUUAAGCACUCCGCCUGGGGAGUACGACCGCAAGGUUGAAACUCAAAGGAAUUGACGGGGACCCGCACAAGCGGUGGAGCAUGUGGUUUAAUUCGAAGCAACGCGAAGAACCUUACCAAAUCUUGACAUCCUU
rnacentral:rRNA from 1 species